rnacentral:piRNA from 1 species
UCCAGACCUUACACCUAGAAUCGUAUGACCC